CCUACGGGUGGCUGCAGUGAGGAAUAUUGGUCAAUGGACGAGAGUCUGAACCAGCCAAGUAGCGUGAAGGAUGACUGCCCUAUGGGUUGUAAACUUCUUUUAUAAAGGAAUAAAGUGAGGCACGUGUGCCUUUUUGUAUGUACUUUAUGAAUAAGGAUCGGCUAACUCCGUGCCAGCAGCCGCGGUAAUACGGAGGAUCCGAGCGUUAUCCGGAUUUAUUGGGUUUAAAGGGAGAGUAGAUGGGUUGUUAAGUCAGUUGUGAAAGUUUGCGGCUCAACCGUAAAAUUGCAAUUGAUACUGGCAGUCUUGAGUACAGUGGAGGUAGGCGGAAUGCGUGGUGUAGCGGUGAAAUGCUUAGAUAUCACGAAGAACCCCGAUUGCGAAGGCAGCUUACUAAACUGUGACUGACAUUGAUGCUCGAAAGUGUGGGUAUCAAACAGGAUUAGAUACCCUAGUAGUC
rnacentral:rRNA from 1 species